UGAAAAAAAGUCAAAGGCCCUUCAGUAUCCGGAAUUAUUACGGCUUCAUGUAUAAUAUGAUUUAAUCCAUUUCACUCGGAAUCGGCUUACCUGCUAACUAUUUAAUACAGAUUUAUCGUUUGAGAGACACCUUGAAGCUAGAAAAUGUUUUGAGUUUUCUGUAAAAAGUAAGAACACAGCAAAAUAUGCUUAAAUUCAAUAUUGGAUGGCUGCUCUAAAUGAAAUGUUUUGUACUGAUGCUCAU